CAGUCGCCGCGGUAAUACGUAGGGUGCAAGCGUUAAUCGGAAUUACUGGGCGUAAAGCGUGCGCAGGCGGUUAUAUAAGACAGAUGUGAAAUCCCCGGGCUCAACCUGGGAACUGCAUUUGUGACUGUAUAGCUAGAGUACGGCAGAGGGGGAUGGAAUUCCGCGUGUAGCAGUGAAAUGCGUUGAGAUCGGAAAGAACACCAACGGCGAAAGCACUCUGCUGGGCCGACACUGACACUGAGAGACGAAAGCUAGGGGAGCAAAUGGGAUUAGAUACCCCAGUAGUCCCUGUCUCUUAUAC
rnacentral:rRNA from 1 species